rnacentral:rRNA from 1 species
GCCUAACCUAACAUGCAAUUAAAACACCAAUUGUUCGCCAAAUAACUACGAGUAAAAACUUAAAAUUUAAAAGACUUGACGGUACUUCACACCACCCUAGAGGAGCCUGUCUAAUAACCGAUAUUCCACGAUUAACCCAACCCGCCCUAGCCAAUCAGUCUAUAUACCGCCAUCGCCAGCUCACCUUGUAAAAGAAACACAGCGAGCCUAAAAGCACCACCACUAACACGAUAGGUCGAGGUGUAACUAAUGGGGGGGAAUCAGGUGGGCUACAUUUUCUAGUACAGAAAACACGAAUAGACUAUGAAAGUAGAAACCGAAGGAGGAUUUAGUAGUAUGUUAAGGACAAAAUGCUUAACCGAAAUAAACGCAAUGAAGUGCGUACACACCGCCCGUCAUCCCUGUCAACACCCACUAAACCUUUAUAAACCAACACAAACUACCAAACAGGGCAAGUCGUAACAUGGUAAGCGUACUGGAAAGUGCGCUUAGAAA